UUUUUUUUUUUUUUUAAGUAGCCCGAAGUCCCGCAUCUCACGACCCCAAGCUAAUUAGUCGUAACUGUAACGAACCAAGGUUGAAGCCUAGUCCCAGGCUUGAGGCUUUUUUAUUAUGCAAGGUUAAAGUGCGGACAUUGCGUUCUUGGGUCAAUAUUGCUAAAGUAGCCUUUUCCGAAAUUGGGUGGUCCUAAGAAAUGCUUCUGGGAUAGUAAGCAAAAUUCAUGGCUUAAUCACGCCCUCUCCGCAGCAGUGGCUAGAGAGGUGUCUGUCCUUGGGAAUGACGGUGACCCUUCUGGCGUGACUGGCGCCCACGUUGGCGUCCUCUGAAAGCCCCACCAGGUAGGCCUAGCUCGCUCGCUUUCUGCAGCGCCAUCAUGACAAAGCUUUGAAACGCAAAAUGCUCUUGCUUUGCGCAGCGCUUUACCAUGGGUGCACUUACAGGCUGUCGACUUGGUUUAGGCCCUCAUCAGGACAAAGGAGCUUAGUUGCAAUGGAGUUUUAGAGCUGCAACUCUAAAGCCCUUGCUCGGUUUCUCUGUUUUUAGAAACAGUAGCGACCUGAUUGGAUAAUAUUUGAAAAUUACUAUGCUUAACUGGAUCGUGUUUCAUCAAUCGUGCAGGAUUUUCAACCCUGGUGGAGCCCACACAUUCAAUACUGAAGAUCCUUUUCUCAGAACUGCCCCUUUAAGCUUUUGCAAUUUUAAUUCUGGGGUUCAAUUUUAAUAACUGAACUUUUUUUUACAUCUGACAAAAAGAGUAUAUGAUGAGCCAAGUUUACUCAGUGCAGCUCAAUUCUAAAAGUUUAUUUUUGCGUGUGUGCAUAUGAGUUAAUAAUUAGUUGUAUUUUUCAAACGGUCGGUCUUUUUUCAAUUGUUUUGCUUAGCUCCUUCCAUCGUCUAAAGUCAGGGAUACAGGCACAUCACAUCCCUGUUCCCCCUUCCUCAAACUAAUAUGUAGCUACCUGUUUUUCUUUAAAAAAAAAAAAAAUUCUCACCUAUUUCUGUGAGAAAUAUACAUGUUUUUCUUUGAACUAAGUAUUUUACAUACACCUAUCUAUAUACAUGCAUAGUUUUUUGUUUUUUUAAAAAAAAUAAACGUUAUCUUUUGAGACUGGGUCUCAGUCUGUUGCCCAGGCUGGACUGCAGUGGCAUAAUCACAGCCCACUGUAACCUCCAACUCCUGGAUUCAAGCUAUCCUGCAGCCUCAGCAUCCAGAGUAACUGGGAUUGCAUGGACACACCACCACGCUGGGCUAAUUUUUUAUUUUUAUUUUUUGUAGAGAUAGUCUCACCAUAUUGUCCAGGCUGGUCUAGAAAUGGCCUCAAGCAAUCAUCGGCCUCCCAAAGUGUUGGGACUACAGUCACUGUGCCUGGCUCCGUAAGCAUAAUUGUUUUGUCUUUUGAUUAGGGUUAUUAAUUUAAAAAACAAAAAAAGGUUGGGCGCAGUGGCUCACGCCUGUAAUCCCAGCACUUUGGGAAGCCAAGUAGGCAGAUUGCUUGAGCUCAGGAGUUCAAGACCAGCCUGGGCAACAUGGUGAAAUCCCGUCUUGACAAAAAAUACAAAAAAUUAGCCA
rnacentral:lncRNA from 1 species